UACGAACACGAAUGAUUUUUUUUUUAUAGUGCUAGACCGGCUAUAAGUGUUGUAGUUUUGUUUACAAACACAAACAGAUCAGAUCAUUGCAUUACCUCUAUCUUUUCAUGACAUAAUAGGGCAGCCUUGUAUGGACACGAAACUUCAUUCAGAGAGAAAAAAAUGGCUAGUCAAGAGAGUUUCAGACGAGGGGACGCAUUUAUAUUUAUAGUUCCUCAUAAAAUUCAGCGGAAAAGACUUGAGGACAUGAAGAUUUCAAUGAAAAAGAAGAAUAUUCCUCUGGCUGAAUCUCUUGGACCAAAUGUAACACAUGUUGUUACAGAAUUCGAAAGUGUUGAACAAGUUGAAAAA